rnacentral:rRNA from 1 species
CCUGGCGGCACUAGCGCGGUGGUCCCACCUGACCCCAUGCCGAACUCAGAAGUGAAACGCCGUAGCGCUGAUCUUCUCUU